ensembl:lncRNA LINC00293 long intergenic non-protein coding RNA 293
GGUACUGCACAGAACAGACAUUGUGACAUAUAUCUAGGCAAAUUGCCUAGAAGUGAAUCCCCUCUCCUGCUUAAGUCCUUCCCACAGAGAGCGGUUUGAUAUGUCACUGAAACCAGCAUCCAGGUGGUAUUGCUCCAUAUGCCUGAGACCCUAACAAAAGCCUAAUUACAACUCAUAUGCCUGGAGCCAGGACAUGUGCAGGAUGACUCUGCCAAGAGAGGGGAUUAUUACAUAUUGCAGAGCCCAGCACCUAGGUGGAGUGACUCUCAUCUUUUUCUUCUACCCCGUAUAUAGCCAGCUUGGUGACCUACUAUUUGAGUCUAUACCCAGGCCCAGACCACAGAUGAAAUUGUGCAAUAUGUGGAACAAACACCUAAACAAUAUAUAACACCUUCCUUGGCUCUGUCUACAAAGGGCACUUUUAUAUAUCACUGGGACCAUCAACCAGGUGAUGUUAAUUAUCUUCCUGAAACCUGUCUACAAAGAGAGUUGUGUCGUAUACCUAGGCCCGUCAUGGUCCUGCGUACUAGGUGGAUUGUGACAUCUCACUGGACCCGCAACCAUGUAGGUCAUGUGACUUUCAUGCCUUCUCACUGGCCACAGGUGAUGUUGUGCCAUAUAACUGAGACCGUAUCAAAAGCCUAAUAACAAGACGUAUGUCUGGAGCCCCGAUAUGCACAGGAUGGUGAUAUAACCCUCUUCUCUGGAAUGGGCCCCACACAAAGGAAGGAUAGUGACAUAUUGCAAGCCCAGGCACACAGGCCCAGAGCACAGUUGAAAUUGUGACAUAUGUACACCAAGCAACCAAGCAAUGUAUAACACCUCAUUUGGCAAUGGAAUCGAGGGCACUUUUACAUAUCACUGAGACCAGCGCCCAGCUGAUGUGAAAUAUUGGCCUGAACCCUGCCUACAAAAGCAUUGUGGCUUUUAUCUAGCUCCAUUACAUAAGUGAUGUGACUUCCUUCUACUGCCUUGGCCCUGCACUUAUGGUGAAUCGUGACACAAAAUUGGGUAGAGCAACCAGCCUGGGCCCUGACCAGCACAGAGAUUGAGGCAUAUUGCUGAACCCAGGACCAAGAUGAAGUCACUCUCCUGCCUUGAUCCUGCACACAGGGACCCUUGUGACAUAUAUACAGGCCAAUUGCCUAGGUGAUGUUGUGCAAUAUACCUGAGACCA